CUUGGCCCUGAAUCAGGUUGGGCUGUGGAUACUCUAAAAUUGAACAAGAUCGGUAUUCCACAAAUUCUCCGCGGAAAAUUCAUCAUCGCCAACUACUGACGAGCAUAAUCCGGCCGUCUCCGCCAUGAACUAGCAGCGGAUUCAGCUCCGCGUCUCCGCCUCGCAGACUGCAUAACCGGCGGCCACCGUUCCGCUCUUCAUCCCUUUGGUCUGUACAAUACAAAAUUGACAGCCAAACUUUUGCCCUAUCAUGAAAUAUGAUAACAUUGUCUGAUCAAUUGGGCAAACAUUGGACGACUGAACAGUAUUUGUGAUAUAUAUGUGUUUAAAUAUCACAUUAAUUGUGCACAACUUCAGAGAUGGUACUUGUUGUUCUGGGAUGCGCUCUCACUACUUCCGUAAAACAAAUUACUUGGGGAAAAACAAAUUACUUGUAAAAAAAUCUGAUUUGGUUGCUAGGGACUUCCUAUGGGGUGAGUGUGAGUGUGACUAUAAUGAUGCUUUUAUUUUCUUGGUUGUAUUCAAAAUUCACAAUUAUAACAAUUCAAGAAGUUGAUAGAGUUGGUCCCCAAAUAGUGUAAACUUCCAUGACAAAUUAGCAUCAAUUCAAGCUAUAUGAUUGAAAAUAUCUGUACAUAGGUAUGUGAUGUGUUUGGUGAAAAGGUACAUCCAUGUUUGAAUAUGUUUAUGCUGGUCUUUCAUUGUGUAAUAUAGCAAUGAAAGCAUAAAGAGAGUGAUGGACUAUGUUUAUGAUGGACCUAAUUUGCUCACAAGUUUGUCACAAUAAUAAAUCUUUGAACUCAAGAAGGUAUGUGCGUCUUGAUCUGGGGUGGGGGGCAUCAAAGAAAUGUGAAACUUAAGUGAUGGACUAUUGUACUGGGAGACCAGGAGAUCUUUGCUGUUACAUUGACUGGACCUCUAGUGAGGGCAUGAUCAAGCUAAGCAUUGUACUAGGGUCUCUCUCAUAGGCCUUCAAAAUCAUUAGGGGUGCUUACUAGAAAGGUUUGGACUAAGACUAACGUAGUAGUUCUUGGAGGGAGUGAUAAAAGAGGAAGAUGGUGUCACUGCAUUUAAGUGUAUAUUAUCACACACGACCUGCAUUUAAGUGUAUAAUAUCGCAUCAUCUGAAAUUUUAUAAAACGGCAGGAUUUUAAUUUUGAGCACGAAAGGUGUAACUUUACUUGGGAUUUAAAUAAAUAGUGUAUGAACAUGACACCCUUAUGAGGUUAGAUGUUUAUUUCUUUCUCUUUGGAUUGUUUAGAAAUUUCGCAACUGGUCCACUCUUAUUCCUUAAAUCCAAGAGAAGCACAGAAGCAAUAACCAUGGGCUCCAUGUUUUCGAUUGAUUUACUUUUAAUACAGAACACUGAGUAAGUCUUUGAGGCAAACAUUAGACUACAAUUCCAAGCUUUUUUCUUCCUAAAAAAUGAAAAAGAAACCAUUCGUUCUCAUAACUCAAGUUGGAUAACUCUCAAAUGGCUCAAAGAAAAUCUUUAGUAAAUUUCACUUAUUGUGUAGUCUUUUACUCCCUUGGAUUUAUGCCGGUUAAACUAUUUCAAAUUUUUACAAGAUGGGGCCUGUUUGGUACCUAAUAGGGCACUCAAAUAUGACUAAAUCUCUCGUCAGGCUAUUGUGCUCUUAAUGUUAUUGCAGAGUAAUACGUCGAUUUCUCUAUAAGAUCUUGGAUUGUGAGGUGGAUGCCGCUAAAGAAAAACAUUGGCCCGCAUGUAAACAAGGUGCUCUAACAACUGAGCUUAACCCUUAGAGCUUGUGAUGCAUAUUUGAUCAUGUAUAUAAUUUGUUGUUAAGCUGAAUAUUCUAUGAUUCAACAUCAUAAAGAUCGACUGUAAGAUCCCAAUCCUUCAGCUGCAAUUAUUUUCGUUGCUCGACCACUCCAACCAUUACUAAAGAGACUUCUGUGAACUCACCUUCAUCAUUCUUCGUAGAAAGGCCUUUGGCUGCAAAGCUGAACGAACUUAGAUUGUGCGCAUAUGUCAGUGUCAUUUCUCAGGAGCUUAGCAACCCAUUUUUGAGCCAGUGACAAGAUUGCUAAAUGUAAAGUCUCCAUUGAUCAGUCUGGAUGGGCGACCAUCAUUCAAGGAGAUAGGGUGCCACCUGAAUGCUGAUAAAGACAAACACAUCAUUAGUUCUUUCUCAUUCACUGUUUUUACUAGACUUAGAUUCAAAUUGGCUUUGCUAGAGUAAGCAAUAUAGGCCAUGCUGAAAAGAUACGAUGGUCGAUGAGUCAUGUUGAAAAGAUUAGCUUAAUUUAUGGUCAACUGAAAAGUCUACUCAGCCAAAUGAUGAUAAGCUACACUAUCAUAAAUGAUGAUAAGCUACACUAUCAUAAUAACAAUAAUCUCCCAUAUGGUAUAAGUGUAGAACUAACUCUAUGGGCUCUAGAAAUCCCUACUAAUACUGAAGCUCCAAGAAACCAAAUAUUGUCUAAUUAUCUAAUAACUAAACAGCUACCUUUGCAUACCUUGAGCAUCCAACUGCGGAACGUUAUGCAUGUUUUCCCCUGCAGUGAUACACCCUAAUAUUUCUGCAGUUUGCCAACACCUUAUGUCUGUGGGAACUAUUCUCCAUUCAGAUUACUACUUUAAAUGCAUAAAAUGUUAUUCUUUGUACUGAUGUUACAUAAGUAUCAUAUAGUAACUCUUAGCAUUCAUUGAUUGAAGAUAUCAAUUGAUUGAGAGAUGAUUAACUCUCCAUUUAUCUUCUUCAAUCAUAUGAUCAAUUCGGAAUAAAAGAUUUAAUUAUAAUAGUGUAUAUAGGAUGUUCUCUGAAGAGAUCAUUUGGCUGUAUUUAGUUAAUAGUUGGCUAUUUUGCUUGCCAGAUUGUUAAUUAAAAUUUUACAGGAAAAAUCCUGGUAUCAGUUUACUAGAGAACUAGAGUUCUUCUACAAUUAACUGCUUAUAAGCCUUUCAGGAGAAGUAGGAGUGAAUAAGUUUAUAAUCAUAUUCAUUUCCUUUCACUUAGGGGCACAUGAUAAAGCUCCUCUAUAUAAAAUGGACACUCAGUCCAUUGAAUGGGUUAAUAUUGGCAUUCUAUUAUUUUUUGUUUUUUAAGUUUACAUUUGUAGUGUGUUCCCAUUUAGCAUAAAUUAAGUAAACAUUAAAGAAGAAACUCAGCUAGAUCAUAAAGCAUACUUGUCUCAUAGACUGGAUUCCUUUAGAUAUAACGUGAUCCUUUGCUUAGGCUGGGUAAAUUUGGAGAGUUCUUUUUAUGGAUACUUUGGUUCUUGUAACUCCCAUGUUGUUUCUUUUGUAUACUUUCUCAUAAAAUUACUGUAAUUUUAUCCUCCACAUUUCAGAAGAUAUAUAUGCCUAUUCUUUUGAGAUAUGUUGUUUCUUGCUGUUGUGAUAAUGCAUUUUUCUAUGGGAUAUAUCCAUUUCUUUUCUAGUCACGUUUGAGACUAUGAAAUGAUUGUGUAGCUUUUGCAAUUAGCUCCAGAAAUGUAGUGAUACCUUCAUAAGCUGGAACCUAGCAAUUAGGUCAUUGACUUUCCCAUGUCUGAAGAAUAAGGAGGUACUUAUGCUGAAACAAUCAAAAGACCAAGGUAGCUUCCCUGUCUUUUACCAAGUUCUGAAUAUACUCCCCAUUUAUGCACGAGCUCUGUUGAGAAACACAACAUAAAUGAACAUUAAUUUCGGAAGAAACAUCAAUAUUUCCGUCCAUUAUUAUUUAUCUGACUCAAUUUUGUACAUUCUAUGAUGUAAUGAUUUUGAUGACUAUGUUUUUGGAGGGAUUAGGUAGAUAAUGCUAAAAAUAAUAGGCAGUUAAAGAAUUUGCUUGAUUUUGAUGUAAUGAUUUUGAUGACUAUGAUUGUUAAAGAAUAUUGUAUUGAGAUCC